UGCAGUCGAACGAUGAACCUCCUUCGGGAGGGGAUUAGUGGCGAACGGGUGAGUAACACGUGGGCAAUCUGCCCUGCACUCUGGGACAAGCCCUGGAAACGGGGUCUAAUACCGGAUACGACUCGGGAGGGCAUCCUUCCGGGUGGAAAGCUCCGGCGGUGCAGGAUGAGCCCGCGGCCUAUCAGCUUGUUGGUGGGGUGAUGGCCUACCAAGGCGACGACGGGUAGCCGGCCUGAGAGGGCGACCGGCCACACUGGGACUGAGACACGGCCCAGACUCCUACGGGAGGCAGCAGUGGGGAAUAUUGCACAAUGGGCGAAAGCCUGAUGCAGCGACGCCGCGUGAGGGAUGACGGCCUUCGGGUUGUAAACCUCUUUCAGCAGGGAAGAAGCGCAAGUGACGGUACCUGCAGAAGAAGCGCCGGCUAACUACGUGCCAGCAGCCGCGGUAAUACGUAGGGCGCAAGCGUUGUCCGGAAUUAUUGGGCGUAAAGAGCUCGUAGGCGGCUUGUCGCGUCGGAUGUGAAAGCUCGGGGCUUAACCCCGGGUCUGCAUUCGAUACGGGCAGGCUAGAGUGUGGUAGGGGAGAUCGGAAUUCCUGGUGUAGCGGUGAAAUGCGCAGAUAUCAGGAGGAACACCGGUGGCGAAGGCGGAUCUCUGGGCCAUUACUGACGCUGAGGAGCGAAAGCGUGGGGAGCGAACAGGAUUAGAUACCCUGGUAGUCCACGCCGUAAACGUUGGGAACUAGGUGUUGGCGACAUUCCACGUCGUCGGUGCCGCAG
rnacentral:rRNA from 1 species